UACGUAGGGAGCAAGCGUUGUCCGGAAUCAUUGGGCGUAAAGCGUCCGCAGGUGGCAGUUCAAGUCUGCUGUCAAAGACCGGGGCUUAACUUCGGAAAGGCAGUGGAAACUGAACAGCUAGAGUAUGGUAGGGGCAGAGGGAAUUCCUGGUGUAGCGGUGAAAUGCGUAGAGAUCAGGAAGAACAUCGGUGGCGAAGGCGCUCUGCUGGACCAUAACUGACACUCAGGGACGAAAGCUAGGGGAGCGAAUGGG
rnacentral:rRNA from 1 species